rnacentral:rRNA from 1 species
GUGCCUAACACAUGCAAGUCGAGCGAUUCUCUUCGGAGAAGAGCGGCGGACGGGUGAGUAACGCGUGGGUAACCUGCCCUGUACACACGGAUAACAUACCGAAAGGUAUGCUAAUACGAGAUAAUAUACUUUUAUCGCAUGGUAGAAGUAUCAAAGCUCCGGCGGUACAGGAUGGACCCGCGUCUGAUUAGCUAGUUGGUAAGGUAACGGCUUACCAAGGCGACGAUCAGUAGCCGACCUGAGAGGGUGAUCGGCCACAUUGGAACUGAGACACGGUCCAAACUCCUACGGGAGGCAGCAGUGGGGAAUAUUGCACAAUGGGCGAAAGCCUGAUGCAGCAACGCCGCGUGAGCGAUGAAGGCCUUCGGGUCGUAAAGCUCUGUCCUCAAGGAAGAUAAUGACGGUACUUGAGGAGGAAGCCCCGGCUAACUACGUGCCAGCAGCCGCGGUAAUACGUAGGGGGCUAGCGUUAUCCGGAAUUACUGGGCGUAAAGGGUGCGUAGGUGGUUUCUUAAGUCAGAGGUGAAAGGCUACGGCUCAACCGUAGUAAGCCUUUGAAACUGGGAAACUUGAGUGCAGGAGAGGAGAGUGGAAUUCCUAGUGUAGCGGUGAAAUGCGUAGAUAUUAGGAGGAACACCAGUUGCGAAGGCGGCUCUCUGGACUGUAACUGACACUGAGGCACGAAAGCGUGGGGAGCAAACAGGAUUAGAUACCCUGGUAGUCCACGCCGUAAACGAUGAGUACUAGCUGUCGGAGGUUACCUCCUUCGGUGGCGCAGCUAACGCAUUAAGUACUCCGCCUGGGAAGUACGCUCGCAAGAGUGAAACUCGAAGGAAUUGACGGGGACCCGCACAAGUAGCGGAGCAUGUGGUUUAAUUCGAAGCAACGCGAAGAACCUUACCUAAGCUUGACAUCCUUUUGACCGAUGCCUAAUCGCAUCUUUCCCUUCGGGGACAGAAGUGACAGGUGGUGCAUGGUUGUCGUCAGCUCGUGUCGUGAGAUGUUGGGUUAAGUCCCGCAACGAGCGCAACCCUUGCCUUUAGUUGCCAGCAUUAAGUUGGGCACUCUAGAGGGACUGCCAGGGAUAACCUGGAGGAAGGUGGGGAUGACGUCAAAUCAUCAUGCCCCUUAUGCUUAGGGCUACACACGUGCUACAAUGGGUGGUACAGAGGGCAGCCAAGUCGUGAGGCGGAGCUAAUCCCUUAAAGCCAUUCUCAGUUCGGAUUGUAGGCUGAAACUCGCCUACAUGAAGCUGGAGUUACUAGUAAUCGCAGAUCAGAAUGCUGCGGUGAAUGCGUUCCCGGGUCUUGUACACACCGCCCGUCACACCACGGGAGUUGGGGGCGCCCGAAGCCGGAUUGCUAACCUUUUGGAAGCGUCCGUCGAAGGUGAAAUCAAUAACUGGGGUGAAGUCGU